UUCCAUGGGAAGACCUAUUCCACCAACUCAUCAUCACAUUUUGCUUUGCUCCACCGUUACCGUCGCCGGUUUUAUGAUGAAUUUGUCUCCGGUAAGGUCCGGAGUGGGACUGGUUUAGUUUGAAUGGAAGAAGUGGAGUAAUAGAGUGUUGGUGUGUGAGUUUAUGAUAUAGAGGAAAAGGGACUAGUAAGAUGGCUUAUAAGCUGGAUUUUGAUGGUGGAUGAGAUUUACCCGUUGGACUUAUAUAAGCCAUCUUCCUAUUUCUUCUUCUCUUCUAUGUGAAGAUCAGAACAGUUUUAAUGAAUGUCUCAUGAUGUUAUUACUCUAAGGACACUCUCGUUUAUAAAUCCUCAUUCUUCAGUAAGCUCUAGUAGACUAGUAUGAUUGAAUUUGAGUCUAGCUUUGCCAAUUAGGAAAUCUUUUAUAGAUAAUAUGGUUUCUAUAUUCAUUCUUGUUUUCGAUUUUAGUCAAAUAUUUUGAGUAUGAGAGUUUUGGUAAAACAUAUUUGCUGAGGCAAUGCAAUAAUAACAGCUAUUAUAUCUGUUUUGGUUUCUUAAAUUUUGUUAAAUUCUAUAAAGUCUGCUGCCUUCUGACUAUUGCAUUUGAGAAUUCCACGGAUUAGUUUGAGGUUUCGUGAUUGUUAACUGCGGAGCUGCAAUUUUCAGAUGUAGUGUCAAAGCUACUCAACAAGAACAAUGAGGGAAAGCUUUUAGAGAUCUGAUGACACCCAUCUCUAGUAGAAGACAGAUGCGUAACUAUUUGUUAUACCCUUUCUACGUGCCAUUGUUUGUUCACUUCCUAAUUAUGGUGGAGCCUUGUAUAUAGUAUUUAGAAGCUUCCAAGAACUGUGUAAGUGCACUUCUCUCUGUCUUUGACUCUUUGUGCAGUACAGAAUCAGCUUCUGUGUUAUUGAUGGGUUAGGUUACCAGAUGCUUUGGGUAUUCGAUUCUCAUCUAAGUCUAACCAUACUUUUGUUGAUUAACAAAAAAAUAAAAAUAAAGCUUCAUCAUUUCUUUGGUUUGUUUA